CUGCCUACGGGACGCAGCAGUGAGGAAUAUUGGUCAAUGGGCGCGAGCCUGAACCAGCCAAGUCGCGUGAGGGAAGACGGUCCUAUGGAUUGUAAACCUCUUUUGUCGGGGAGCAAAAGACGCCACGCGUGGCGUUCCGAGAGUACCCGAAGAAAAAGCAUCGGCUAACUCCGUGCCAGCAGCCGCGGUAAUACGGAGGAUGCGAGCGUUAUCCGGAUUUAUUGGGUUUAAAGGGUGCGCAGGCGGAAGAUCAAGUCAGCGGUAAAAUUGAAGGGCUCAACCUAUUCGAGCCGUUGAAAGUGGAG
rnacentral:rRNA from 1 species